rnacentral:rRNA from 1 species
AGAGCGAACGCUGGCGGCAGGCCUAAUACAUGCAAGUCGAACGGAUCCUUCGGGAUUAGUGGCGGACGGGUGAGUAACACGUGGGAACGUGCCCUUUGGUUCGGAACAACUCAGGGAAACUUGAGCUAAUACCGGAUAAGCCCUUUUGGGAAAGAUUUAUCGCCAUUGGAGCGGCCCGCGUCUGAUUAGCUAGUUGGUGGGGUAAAGGCCCACCAAGGCUACGAUCAGUAGCUGGUCUGAGAGGAUGAUCAGCCACACUGGGACUGAGACACGGCCCAGACUCCUACGGGAGGCAGCAGUAGGGAAUCUUGCGCAAUGGGCGAAAGCCUGACGCAGCCAUGCCGCGUGAAUGAUGAAGGUCUUAGGAUUGUAAAAUUCUUUCAGCGGGGACGAUAAUGACGGUACCCGCAGAAGAAGCCCCGGCUAACUUCGUGCCAGCAGCCGC